UUUAUUUCCCAGGGAAAAGGGGCGGUUUUUGUGUUCUAGGGGCUGUGGCUCAGAGCAGCCUUCUGGCUUUUAAAAUUCCGCAUAUCGCAGGAUGCCUCCCAGGACCAAGCUGGCACCAGUGCCAACUCAGGCUGGUUUGAGAGUGCCAAGUACCUCCUGCAAACUGAUACCAUGAACUAGGGUUGGAUGCCUCCCAGGACCAAGCUGGCACCAGUGCCAACUUGGGCUGGUUUGAGAGUGCCAAGUACCUCCUGAAAACUGACACCAUCAACUAGGGUUGGAUGCCUCCCAGGACCAAGCUGGCACCAGUGCCAACUUGGGCUGGUUUGAGAGUGCCAAGUACCUCCUGCAAACUGACACCAUCAACUAGGGUUGGUGAGUUUUAUUUCCCAGGGAAAAGGGGCAGCGUUUGGUGUUGCAGGGCCGGUGGCUCAGAGCAGCCUUCUGGCUCCUAAAAUUCCGCAUAUCGCAGGAUGCCUCCCAGGACCAAGCUGGCACCAGUGCCAACUCAGGCUGGUUUGUGAGUGCCAAGUACCUCCUGCAAACUGACACCAUCAACUAGGGUUGGAUGCCUCCCAGGACCAAGCUGGCACCAGUGCCAACUUGGGCUGGUUUGAGAGUGCCAAGUACCUCCUGCAAACUGACACCAUCAACUAGGGUUGGUGAGUUUU